GCUUACGGCCAUACCACUGAACACGCCCGAUCUCGGAAGCUAAGCAGGGUCGGGCCUGGUUAGUACUUGGAUGGGAGACCGCCUGGGAAUACCAGGUGCUGUAAGCU
rnacentral:rRNA from 1 species